rnacentral:tRNA from 1 species
ACUUGACGUUAUGGAAACACUUGAUUUUGAAAAUCAAAUUUAAAACGUUCAAAUCGUUUACAAGUU